rnacentral:piRNA from 1 species
UGGAUGAAGCUACAACUGACCAAUCGAGUGU